GGGAAGCUUGCUUUUUGAAAACACCGUUGGGCUUUCCAAAUUGCAGUUCUUCAGCAGUGCCAGCCAGUUUGCUUGCUUUCCCCUGGACAGAGGUGCACCACAGUGCUAGGAAAGGCCAGCAGGGUUGACCUGUAGCAAAUGAGGUCCUGUUGUGGAGGAGAAGGUUUCUGCAUGAGAUGUGCCAAAGGUCGCAGCUGGUAAAAAGGUUAUUCAAGUCCUUACGAAGAAUUACUACAUCUUCCGUUGACCUGAUAAUUGGUAUAUGGUUGCUGGGGGUAAUUAUGCUGGCUGCCAUUCAGGCUCGUGAAGUUAGUGCCCCCGUGAACCUACAUGACAUGCAGGUAUGUGCGGAGCAGAGAGGAGACAGCAGGUAUGAGCUAGUAUUUUUCUCUAGCAAGGGUCAAAACACUAAAUAAAAAUAUAGUGAUAGAAGCAGUGACAACCACUUAGUGACUGCUUGAGGGAGCACCUACGCAGGCGUAUGCUUCUCUG